AGCUAGAUUUGGCUUGAAAAUGGCGUUCUCUAAAGAAAAUAACAAUAGUCUAGGUUCGUAUAGUGUGAUCUAUGGAAUGAUCCAUGAUAAUGUUUAGAGACCAAGGUAAGUAUAAUGAAGUUUAAAGAUUAUGACAUGAAAGGCAGUCUUGGUAUAUGGAAAAACGGAAAACAAGAACGUGAAAGUGUCGUUUAAACAAAAUUUGUAGAAAUGGAUCCAGAAAAUCAAGAGCCUGAUAAAAAGCGAGGGCCCGUUGACAUCGCCGCUUUAAAGACGCAACUCUCUUCUGAGGACCUUUUCAUUUCUAGCCUACUGACCAAUAUUCCAACUCAGGGUGUUUCUACAGUACAAGAUCUUGAUAGUAAUAAGGCUGGUGUUGACCACAAUAGUUCUUUCCAAAAAAUUGACACCAGGAACCGUGCUUACAAUCCUGAAGAAAUGGAAGAACAUCCAACAGCUAAACUCUCACACUUCACAGGAAAAAGCUGGAUUUAUCUGAUAAGAAGACAGAAACCAAAUCAAAGUUAGAUGAAAUGACGACGAAAUUUAAAAAGAAAAAUAAGGAGAAGAGGUCCUGAAUUGCCAAACUUGCAUGAGCCACCAAGGCAGCAUCAGUGUUAUCGACCUCUGGUCUUUCAGAAUUUGUCAAAACAGAAAUUCCUGAACCAAGAGUAGCAAGUACACUGCCAACACCAAUUUUCAACUGUGAAGGCUGCCCAGUUUGAAGCAAAUUUGUUCUUAGGGAAUUAUUUAAUCCCUCACCCAUUCUGAAAAAGAGCACUUUAGAUCAAUAAGUGGCAAUGAUUAAAAUGAAAAAAAAACUUAAACAAAAACAACGUUUAAAUGAUUAAACGUGAAAAUCUUGGUAGGCCAAGCUGAAUUUAAGAAUGAAAGAAGCAUUAAAGAGAAACGGGCAUGAAAUGGUGCUCUUCAAAUAGCUGAAGGUUUGCAGGUAGAAGACUGGAAUUGCUUGACAAAUAUAUUAAGAAACGAGAUCAAUCAAAUCAGAAAGUAAAAAAAAAUUGGGCUGAACGCAUCGAAGAAAAGGAAAAGAGAACGGAAUAACAACAGAUAAAGAGAAAAGCCAAUAUUAAGAAAAAGAAAACUGAAAAGGAAGAACAUAAAGUGAUUAAACCAAAUCGAAAAAGGAAAAUUUAUCGUAUGAAAUUCUGAUACUGACUCAUUGAUGAGCUAAACUCGUGUUCUUUCAUGUCGUGAUAGUUAAAAAAAAAUACACUGGCAUGCCUUCUA